UGGGGAAUAUUGGACAAUGGGGGAAACCCUGAUCCAGCCAUGCCGCGUGUGUGAAGAAGGCCUUUUGGUUGUAAAGCACUUUAAGCAGUGAAGAAGACCUUANGGUUAAUACCCAUUNGCGAUGACAUUAGCUGCAGAAUAAGCACCGGCUAACUCUGUGCCAGCAGCCGCGGUAAUACAGAGGGUGCAAGCGUUAAUCGGAAUUACUGGGCGUAAAGCGAGCGUAGGUGGCUUGAUAAGUCAGAUGUGAAAUCCCCGGGCUUAACCUGGGAACUGCAUCUGAUACUGUUAAGCUAGAGUAGGUGAGAGGGAAGUAGAAUUCCAGGUGUAGCGGUGAAAUGCGUAGAGAUCUGGAGGAAUACCGAUGGCGAAGGCAGCUUCCUGGCAUCAUACUGACACUGAGGCUCGAAAGCGUGGGUAGCAAACAGGAUUAGAUACCCUGGUAGUCCACGCCGUAAACGAUGUCUACUAGUCGUUGGGUCCCUUGAGGACUUAGUGACGCAGCUAACGCAAUAA
rnacentral:rRNA from 1 species